rnacentral:sRNA from 1 species
UGAGUUCACCACCCCAGUAACAACAGUGCAUUACAAUACUUAAUAAUGGAACAAGGAGAGUAGUAUUUUAGUCUCAAAAGCAUUGGCACUUACAACCUAUUGCUUUGUUUUUAGUGGUUUCCAGCUGUGGUUGCAUUGCACGUAGAAAGUGGAAUAAUGUAAUGGGCUUUGAAACCAUAAUAAUGAAUGUCUGAAUAAUGACAUUAUUUCUUGCGUUUGUAAUACUGUUAAUUAAAUCUAUGUCGAUCCUGUUGGAAUUCAUAAAAUCAUCUAAAAAUUUUUCUAAAUAUACAGUGUUGUUUUCCCCAUUGUAUCUUGAUCUCAAGCAACAAAUGGUAAAAGUAUAGCUAUUAAUGUCAUUAAAUGCGAAUUGUUUCAACAUUAUGAAGGGUUCCUCUUGGUAAGUGGCAGAAGGAGCCAGGCUUAGGUUUGAAGUGAGACUGACUUUAUUCCCUUCUUCGUCCUUACGUAGCUCUGGAUGCCGGGCAGGUUGGUUUGGCACUGUCCUAUGCCCUCACGCUCAUGGGGAUGUUUCAGUGGUGUGUUCGACAAAGUGCCGAAGUUGAGAAUAUGAUGAUCUCAGUAGAAAGGGUCAUUGAAUACACAGACCUUGAAAAAGAAGCACCUUGGGAAUAUCAGAAACGCCCACCACCGGCCUGGCCCCAUGAAGGAGUGAUAAUCUUUGACAAUGUGAACU